rnacentral:rRNA from 1 species
UACGGAGGGUGCAAGCGUUGUUCGGAAUCAUUGGGCGUAAAGCGCGUGUAGGUGGCUUGGCAAGUCGGUUGUGAAAUCCCGGGGCCCAACCCCGGAACUGCAUUCGAAACUGCCUCGCUAGAGUCCCGGAGAGGAAGGCGGAAUUCCCGGUGUAGAGGUGAAAUGCGUAGAGAUCGGGAGGAACAUCAGUGGCGAAGGCGGCCAUCUGGGACAACACUGACGCUGAAGCACGAAAGCGUGGGGAGCAAACAGG